rnacentral:rRNA from 1 species
UACAGAGGUCUCAAGCGUUGUUCGGAUUCAUUGGGCGUAAAGGGUGCGUAGGCGGCCCUGUAAGUCCGCUGUGAAAGUCAAAGGCUCAACCUUUGAAAGCCGGUGGAUACUGCAGGGCUAGAGUCCGGAAGAGGCGAGUGGAAUUCCUGGUGUAGCGGUGAAAUGCGCAGAUAUCAGGAAGAACACCCGUGGCGAAGGCGGCUCUCUGGGACGGUACUGACGCUGAGACGCGAAAGCGUGGGAGGCGAACAGG